GAAAGCAAAGAUAUCCUGUUAGUGGAUCUAAACUCUGAAAUCGACACCAAUCAAAAUUCUUUAAGAGAAAAUCCGUUCUUAACAAAUGGCAUCACCUCCUGCUCUCUUCCUCGACCAAAACCUCAGGCAUCCUUCUUGCCUGAAAAUGCCUUUUCUGCCAAUCUCAACUUCUUUCCCACACCUAAUCCUGAUCCUUUCCGUGAUGAUCCUUUUGCACAGCCAGACCAAUCGACACCCUCUUCGUUUGAUUCUCUCAAACCACCAGAUCAGAAGAAAGAGAAUUUGUGUAGUUUGUCUACUCCACUGAGUAAUGGGUCCCAAAACGGUGACGCUGAUUACUUUGGUCAACAAUUUGACCAGAUCUCUAACCGGACUGGCAAACAGGAAGCUCAGGCAGGCCCGUGGCCCUUUUCAAGUACGCAAAGCCAGCCAGCAGUGAGAACUCAAAAUGGGGUAUCUGAAAGAGAACAGAACGGCUUCCAUAUCAAAUCUUCCCCAAACCCUUUCGUGGGAAACCCUCCCACAGGACUCUGUGUACCGAAUGGCAUAAAGCAGGACUUGGAAAGCCCUGUCCAGUCCUCACCACAUGACUCCAUAGCUAUUAUCCCACCUCCACAAAGUACCAAACCGGGAAGAGGCAGAAGGACUGCUAAGUCUUCGGCAAAUGACUUGCUUGCAUCAGACAUCUUUGCUCCUCCCGUCUCAGAACCUCCAGGCCAGACAUCACCCACAGGACAAUCUGCAGCCCCACAGACCAACCCCUUGGAUCUCUUCAAAACAAGUGUUCCUACCCCAGGGGCACCUCUUGCGAGUCUAGGUGGUGUACCGGUGUCGCCCCCGCAAGCGGGACCGUGGAGCCCACCCAUUGUCUUUAACCAGUCCACGCCCAUGGUCCCGGGAGCCGUGAUGGGCGGCCAACCUGCCGCGUUCAGCCAGCCAGUUGUUUUUGGCACCAGCCCAGCCGUUCAGUGUUGGAGCCAGCCUUCAUCCUUUGUGACCUCAUCUUCUCCCUCAGCCCCUGCAGUCUGGGGUUCUUCUGCGUCUGUGGCACCCAGCUGUUGGCCAGCAGCGAGCUCACUGGGGAACCCUUUCCAGAGCAAUGUCUUUCCCCCACCACCUGCUCUGUCCUCUUCCAUGCUGCCCUCACUCGUGGUCAGUCCUCCUCAGCCACCUCCCAGAACUGCUCCGAAGGACAUCCCCAGCGAUGCCUUCACGGCCUUAGACCCGCUCGGGGAUACGGAAGUCAAGGAAGUGAAAGAAAUGUUUAAGGACUUCCAGUUGCGGCAGCCGCCUGCCGUGCCCUCGAGGAAGGGAGAGCAGCCUUCUUCUGGAACUUCCAGCGCCUUCUCCAGUUACUUCAACAGCAAGGUUGGCAUUCCCCAGGAGAAUGUGGACCAUGAUGAUUUUGAUGCUAAUCAACUGUUGAACAAGAUCAACAAGAUCAGCGAACCACCAAAGCCAGCUCCCAGACAAGGUGCCCUGUCAGUUACCAAAUCGACCAGCAAAGCCUUUGAGAACCCUUUCUCUAAAGAUUCCUUCGGCUCACCGCAACCCUCUGAACUUGGAAUGCUGACUGUCCAGAGGAACAAAAAGGGGACCAUCCUCAAGCUAAAGUUCAGAAGAGUAGUGAAUGUGAAGAAAAUCUGAACUCCAUUCAACAAUAAAGGGCCACGUUCUACAGAGCAGCACAUCAGAAAGCUAAAUGUGACUUUGCUCGACACACUGGUGCUUAUCCUUGGGGGAUGUCAUGCUGGGCCUUUAUCGAGUAACUGGAAAACUUUCUUGAAGCCAUGGUUUCAUACUUAGUAGGAAGAUAAAUGGGAGGGGAAAAGGUGGCGAACAAGUAUUUGGGGUUAUCAUCAAAAAUCUCAUGCCUGCAAUAUUUUUCUCCCAUAACCUUGGAAACUUUCCCAGUUCAUUGUCAGUCCUAUUGUUAGCACGGUUCUGAGGGAUUUGUUCUUGCUAAAAUGAUUUUGUUUCAAAUGUUAUCUCUUGACCCUUAAUGCUCAGGUUCUUGUGGGUGUUAAUCAACCACAUCCAAUGUUAUCUUUCCGGGGGAGAAAGAGGAUGACUGCUCAGGAUUUAAACAAGCUGGCCUUGGGAGCCUCUAUAGAUUAGCUUCAAGUAGUCCAAGCUGAAGUCCUGUGGUUUUGCGUUUAAUGAUAAUAGUUGAUUAUAUAUGGCAUAAUUUUUCUGUCUGGCGUCCUACUCAGUCAUAACCAGAGACUUGAAAUAGUACUUUAAAGGUCUAAAAACCUAAAAGUGCUAAACUGGAGGUAUCUAUUUCUAGGUAGUUGACUUUUUGAAAGUGAUGAUCAGCCAUGCAACUGUUUUGUAUAUACUUUCUCUUGCACUUUUCUGUAUGCAAAUUAAAGCUAUAAAUUUACUCAUUUCAAUAAACUGGAAUGGCAAAAUCUACGGUGUCACCACCAAUUUAUUCUGAUGUUUGACCUUUUCUUUGAGUUGACCGUUAGGGAGCAAAGCGUACCAGUGUACAGUAAGUAAAUGUGAGUUACAGUACAUUCCAGAUUAUCAAUAAAGAAGAGAAAGUGGGAAGCUA
ensembl:lincRNA